AUUGAACGCUGGCGGCAGGCCUAACACAUGCAAGUCGAGCGGAUGAAGGGAGCUUGCUCCUGGAUUCAGCGGCGGACGGGUGAGUAAUGCCUAGGAAUCUGCCUGGUAGUGGGGGAUAACGUCCGGAAACGGGCGCUAAUACCGCAUACGUCCUUAGGGAGAAAGUGGGGGAUCUUCGGACCUCACGCUAUCAGAUGAGCCUAGGUCGGAUUAGCUAGUUGGUGGGGUAAAGGCCUACCAAGGCGACGAUCCGUAACUGGUCUGAGAGGAUGAUCAGUCACACUGGAACUGAGACAAGGUCCAGACUCCUACGGGAGGCAGCAGUGGGGAAUAUUGGACAAUGGGCGAAAGCCUGAUCCAGCCAUGCCGCGUGUGUGAAGAAGGUCUUCGGAUUGUAAAGCACUUUAAGUUGGGAGGAAGGGCAGUAAGUUAAUACCUUGCUGUUUUGACGUUACCAACAGAAUAAGCACCGGCUAACUUCGUG
rnacentral:rRNA from 1 species